GAUGAACGCUAGCGACAGGCCUAACACAUGCAAGUCGAGGGGCAGCACAUGAGUAGCAAUACGAUGGUGGCGACCGGCGCACGGGUGAGUAACACGUAUGCAACCUGCCUUCUACUAUGGGAUAACCCGUUGAAAGACGGACUAAUACCGUAUAAUACAGGGGCUCCGCAUGGAGAUAUUUGUUAAAGAUUUAUUGGUAGAAGAUGGGCAUGCGUAUGAUUAGAUAGUUGGUGAGGUAACGGCUCACCAAGUCAACGAUCAUUAGGGGUUCUGAGAGGAAGGUCCCCCACACUGGUACUGAGACACGGACCAGACUCCUACGGGAGGCAGCAGUGAGGAAUAUUGGUCAAUGGACGAGAGUCUGAACCAGCCAAGUCGCGUGAAGGAAGACGGUUCUAUGAAUUGUAAACUUUCUUUUGUGCAGGAAUAAAGUGGGUUACGUGUAACCUUUUGUAUGUACUGUACGAAUAAGGAUCGGCUAACUCCGUGCCAGCA
rnacentral:rRNA from 1 species